rnacentral:rRNA from 1 species
AUUGAACGCUGGCGGCAUGCCUUACACAUGCAAGUCGAACGGUAACAGGUCUUCGGAUGCUGACGAGUGGCGAACGGGUGAGUAAUACAUCGGAACGUGCCUAGUAGUGGGGGAUAACUACUCGAAAGAGUGGCUAAUACCGCAUGAGAUCUACGGAUGAAAGCAGGGGAUCGCAAGACCUUGUGCUACUAGAGCGGCCGAUGGCAGAUUAGGUAGUUGGUGGGAUAAAAGCUUACCAAGCCGACGAUCUGUAGCUGGUCUGAGAGGACGAUCAGCCACACUGGGACUGAGAGACGGCCCAGACUCCUACGGGAGGCAGCAGUGGGGAAUUUUGGACAAUGGGCGCAAGCCUGAUCCAGCAACGCCGCGUGCAGGAUGAAGGCCUUCGGGUUGUAAACUGCUUUUGUACGGAACGAAAAGCCCCGGGUUAAUACCCUGGGGUCAUGACGGUACCGUAAGAAUAAGCACCGGCUAACUACGUGCCAGCAGCCGCAGUAA